GAGGCAGAGUGCAAUAUACAGAAAGAAAGAAAAAACAGGUUUGGCAGGCUCGUCUGUAAGGCGGAAAAAGGGAAUAUUGGCAGCACUUGAAGAUCGUUAGGUGGCGCUGCCUCAAAUACGGGGAACGAGGGGAAGACAGAAUAUCUCGACAAGGCCUUUCACAAUGUUUUGGAAAAAGGGGAGGAUGCAGUAUGGGAGCUCUUUUUCCUCUGGAGGCAAUCACUCACAACCCCUCCUCCACAUGGUUCUCCACUCGAGACCUGAGCUGCUUUUCAACUUCAUCUUGUCAAUACAGGGAUAAGGAGUCUGCCUGAAAGUUCAUUAAUUCCUGAGUAACCUAUGGCUGGUUAUUGCUAAUACCCAGUUCUAUUGAUGUUUUCUUUCCCAUGGAGUGAGCCAGGUUAACCCCUACACCCCACCCCAGCUUCCUGCCAGAAACAGCCCAUUGUCAAGCCUGCAUAAAACCAUAGAGAUGCACAAGGGGGCAUACAUGGGGCAUCAUUAUGCUACGACCCAGGGUAAGGGAAUGCUGGCACGGUUGAGUACCCAGGCCUACCUGUCCUGGGAGACUCUAUACUCUCAGCUCUUGCCUUACACAGCUUGUGGCCUGGGCAGGAUGUAUAGGCCCUUACCCCUGCAUGCCACCUAGGCCAUAAUUAUGGGUUUUUUGUUGUUUGUUUUCUUUUGUUUUGUUUUUUGUUUUGUUAUGGUCAAUGAAAAGAGAAGGGAAAGUAGGAUGGGUUCGGUUUAGCUGGGAAAGGGACGGAGAGGUGGGGGCUCUUUGUUUUAAGGGACAAUAGUGUCCACAGAGCCUAUGCAGGGAGGGCUUCUGUCACGCUGGCCUUAAGCACUUCCUCAGGGCCAUGUUUGCAUUUGCACAGUUGAUCAUUCUGUCAAAUCCACAACAUAUCCCUCUUUAAGAGACCAAAGCAAACAUUUUAGUAAAUUAAAAUAGUUUGAAACACUUUGACUGUUAGAUGCAUUUGAAUGCCUUUUUUGCAUUCAAUGCAGCAUAUUCAGAUGUUAAACAAAUGAGUCGCUUUGAAUACCACCAUUUCGCACAUUCUCAUUUCAAACCCACCAGAAUGUAGGAGAGACAAUAUGUAUGAAAAUGAGUUUUGAAUCCCAACUCCCUUUCUCUGAGGAAAAAAAAAACCCAAAAUGCUUUGUCCUGCACGCAGAAGAACUUAUCCUGUUUUGGGUGUGAUAGACAUGCAUUUUGGCUUUUGAAGAUCUCUGUUUUUGGAUGCAGAGACAUUUAAUAGUUUCCUGGCACGGUUGGCAUGGUUACCAGUGGGGAAAAGCAGUGACUUAAACCAUGUGACUGAAUCUGCCUGAACCUGCGAUAAUCUUUGGCCAAUCUCCGUAUUAACACUCAACUUCUGCUCGAAUUGUCUUCGUGACCCCGUCCCAGCCUUCCCGCACACGCUCCCUUUCCAGCGCCGCACAAAGGCUUUUGUAACAGGAUAAAUGGGCGCCCCUGGAAUCAUUUCCCAUCAAAGCCCUUUUAUUGCCAGACAUGUGGCAUUUGUCUUUUUAAUUUAAAAAAUGAAUAUAUCAAGCAGUCUGUGUUGACUGCCGAGAAUGUGCCGUGGUAGUUCGGCAUGAUGCGAAUGAUGAAAAUAUAGAUGAUGGUUUAGCGUUCUUCCGUGGCGAGCUUACUGGGCCAGAAAUGGCAUGUACAGCGUAUGUGAGCCAAAGCCUUUAACAACCCCUGCAAUGAUUAAAACACAAUAUUAAAAUGACAUGGGUGGUGGAAACUCAUUCUUGCUCUCUUCUCUUGAACCAAAGUCUGCGUAAUUUAUUACAGUGGCCUUUAUUGACCGGGUAACAUUAGCCAUUUUCAUUUCUUUAUAUAUGCUGAUUGCUGCAGCGUGACAGACAGUUUAAAUGAUCUCAGUUGCAAAGUGCAACAGCUAAGUGUGUUUGGGCAUAUUCAUGGUCACAUUUAUAGAGAAGGUGUGAGAUUUAUAUAAUCUUAAAAUAAAUCUGACCAUAUUUAAAGUAAUUUGUAACUUUGCACUUACUGAGUCAUGAUGUUUGCUGUCAGUCAGAUCUUAAAUGGCAGAAACAUGACAGUUCAAAGCCUGUACAACUCAAUCAAUGGUGUCACGGUGUUAGAGAUAAUGAAACAUGAAUAAAAUAGUGUAUGCGCGUAAUAUAAGAAUGUGCACAACUAUUAUUUUCAAAAUCGACUAGUCUGUUGUCUUAAAGGAGCCCUGUAUAAUCAGGCUGGUUUUGCCUGAUCCCGAUUGGAUGAGUUUCUUAAAGGGGCGUUUACAUAUUACAUGUUCUCGUGUUCAAAAACAGCUAGACAAAGCACAACGAGAUGGAAUGCAGUGGCCUCGAGACGCGUUUUUAAAGUUGUCUAUGUUAAACUUGACACGCUAUCUUAAAACCACAAAGCUCACUGUGAGAUGCUCCAAAAACAGUGCAAGACGCAACAGUCAAAGACAUCUCUCUGAAUAUCUAUGGCUGUACUAGAAGUGCUUUAAAAAGGGAAGAACUUCAACUUUUCCGUGAGGUCUGCAUUGUGCCAAUUUUCUAACAGCUAAAGCUUAACACGCUUAUCAAACUACCAUGGUUAAAAAUAUUAAUAAGUUCCUUAUACGUUUCACAAAAUUUCCAAUGUCCACUGUGUGGCGCUAAAAGCGAGCUAAAUUACCUCCCAAACAGAUUAAGGUUUAUGCUCAAGUAAAAAUUAAGCUGUAAAUCAACAAAACCUACUUUCCUUACUAUUACUUCCCUAAACCUUCAACCUAAAACUAACCGAUAGUGUUAAAAAAAAACAAAACAAAAAAAGCAGAUGUGAGAUUUAAAAAAAAAAAAAACAGAUGAGGUUUUGAAAGUUAAUACUGUAGGGCGUUUUAAAGCAACAUAACUGAACUCCCUACCCUACACUGUAAAUGAUUUUUGUUGUUUUGACAGUAUUAUUGCUGUAUUUCCAACUGCAUCUUACUGUAGAUACUGUUUACAGAAUGUUGCUGUCAAUUUUGUUGUUUUUACAGUAUUAUUGCUGUAUUUUCCACCAUGCCUUGCUGUAGAAACUGUUUACAGUAUGUUACUAUCAAACUGAGCUGUAUUUUUGGGGAAAAAAAUGAGCAGGAAAAUAAUUACAGUAAUUUACUUUUAAAUUGCAUGAGAACUGGCCCAAUCUCAAACCUGCACAUACACAAUUUAGAGGGAAAAUUUGUGGUAUUAUUCAGUGAUCUAUUAUCAAAAAGAUGAAACUCAGGAGAUGCCUUCUCUGCAUUGGAUUUACUCAUACAAUUGCAUAAAAAGUAGAACUGUAUGAGAAUGCACCUGGUAACCUAUGAACAUUGAGCCUGCACUCGACUCUUCGUCACUUUAGCCUUGAGAGGAGCAGAAGCAAGGCGAUCUCUUUUCUACUGAACCAGGUGAGCACCAAAAAUCGCACAAAACAUCUUUUAGCAGUUUACAAUAAUUUUUCAAACAUUCAUCAUUUGACAAUGAAAAUCAGUACGUAAUUUUAGCUUUGUAACUAUAAAGUUUACGUUCUCAAACAGAUACUAGCAUUAGUUAUAAUGACCAUUCUAUUUAGUAUUGAAGUAAGCACUUACAAGUUUUGACGUAACCAACCAAAUUACCUUGUCUAAGAACAAAUGUUGUUUACACCAGUCGAACGUGUGCAACUCAUUUGAUGCUCCGUUUUUUAAAAUUUUUAAAUUUUUAAAUUUUGUUUUAUUUUAUUUGAUCUGCGGUAUUAUACCGGCCACUUUAUUUAUGUCAAUGUUUUGCUCUGGAUUUUAUUCGAUAUGUAUGUAAGUAACUUCUAUCUCAGUCCUUUCUGAAUAAUGCACAACCUUGGUAGUUGAGAGUGUAUUUUCUCCCUUGUAGCUUACAGUAUAUGUCAUGUUGAUAUAAAAACAAGACUGAAGUUACAAGAUAUGAAUUGAUUUUUGUAUUUUGUUCUCUAGGUCUGGACAUGCAAAGAAUUGGAGAGUUAUUUGGUAUCUGGUAAACUUAAUAUUGAAGUUUUUGAAUGGACUUUUAUGUGUGUAUAGUCAUAAUUUACAUUUAUGAGUAACAUUUAUAUGAUAUUUGAGUGCCAUUGUGUUAUAAAUGUUCAGUUUGCAAAAAGGCCUCAAUUGUUUCAUUCUUCUUUUUUUUUUACUUGUAAUAGAUAGAAGUUUGUUACUCUAAAACUGUGCUUACUGUGGUUAGUUAUACGGUAUGGACACUGCAAUUUAAUAUACAACAUACAAACAAUUACUGUAAUUAAUUUGACAAUACAGCACAUACUAUAAAUCAUUAUACAAUAUGCUGUAAACUACUGUUGAUAGUUUAACAGUAAUUUUACUGUGGUAUGGAAUGCAGCAGCUUGCUGGCUAUUUGUUGCCAGUAAGUUACUGUUGAUUUUAUGUCAAUUAUUUUACAAUGUAAACCUUAAACCUAAACCUAACUGAAAGUGUCAUAAAAAGCAAAUGUGAGAUGAAAAACACAAUUGCUGAAGCAACUACGUCUUUCAGAGGUGCUUCUAUGACACUUUUGGCUCACGUGUUGACUCAGGUUCACAGGUGUUCAGGAUUUGUUUCUUGGUCCUUUGCAUAGCAAGUGCAAUCAGUGUAAGUUACAUCAGUUGAGCGACCCCACAAUUUGAUUAUGUAAUACAAAUGUUGAAAUGUAUAAAUGUAAGUCAUGCACUAUAGUAAAGGUGUUAAUAUGUCAUAGCAUAGCAUUGUGUAAGAAACAAGGUGAAAAUUAAGUAGGUAUUUACGAACUGUAAUAAUCUGCUGUUUAUCUUGUGAUUUAUAUGAAAGGAAAUUAAUGUCAUUGUUGUUGUAGACCCUCUAGUGUUCAUUCACCACAAAAGGGCAGUGAUACGUACAACGAGUCAUUUAGCAAAAAUGUAGGUAUAGUAAUGUGAUUCUAUGAGACCAGGUUGAGACAUGUCUUGAUUCCGCUGUACUUUCUUCUUCAGUGACAGGGAGGACUGUCUACGUAGUGCCAGUGAGAGGUCUAAAAACCACGUCAGUCCAUGCGAGCGCAAAACACACACACAUAGACACACUAACACAACAGGAAACUUCAGCAGUCACAGUGAAAACCACCAGAUAAGAAGGACAAGUGGACCCCUGCCGUCAGCUCAGCUCCAAGACAAUGCACGUCUUCUGGAAAGACAUGUGUCUGUAUUUCUUAACAAACAAGCAGACACCAGUAGGUAUGGGCAGGGUCGAUCGACUGUCAGUCUGCCCUUGAAAAUGUUACAGAAAUAUGCUUCAAGUACACAUUUCUUUACUUGAGAUCCAGAAAAUUAUAGUCACUUCUUUGACUUUUUGUCUGUCAUCUCAUUAAAUAUUAUUUCAGCUUUUUUGUUGUUUUAUUUUUAUUUCUUUAGGCUUGGGGGGAGUGGGCAUAAGUUCUACAUGAGAACGCCUUUUCUUUGUCAUCUUUGGCUUCACUUUGAAUGUCACUGGUUCCUCAAGAUUGACAGAAUAAUAUGCACUCAUCAUGUUGCAGAUGCAAAAAAAGAAAAAAAAAGAAAAAGAAAAACUGUGAACACUGGGUACAUUUUUGGGGGUAUUUGCUUCUUUUUAAUCAGUGGAGAAAGACUGACAUGUCCAAUCAUAAUAACACAUCAACUGCUAAAUGGGCCUUUGCAAUCACUGUCAGUUCCAUUUCAUUAGGGAGUCCUGUAUGUAUGGACAUCAAUCAGCUUUUUGUGCCAUUUAUUUAUUUAUAAUUUUAUAAUUUAACUGUUUAUCUAUUUAUUCAUUCUAAACAAUUGAAUUCUGCACUUUGACUAUGCCCUUGUCUAAUCAAACAUCCCAGCACUACUAAUUACUUGUGUACAGGUUCUCAUUUUGUAACAACGGAGUUUUUGCACUUGGAGUACAGUUGUUUAAAAACUAACAUUUCUAAAAUGACUCUCUGUGAAAGACUUCCUUAUGAGAAAAUGAAAGCUAAGUCAUUCUACUGUAAAAGGUUGCAGAUUUCAUCCAAGAAGUGGAAUAUAAUGUUGGAUAUAAACAGAAAUGUAUAGCCUCUAAUUUUAUAUUUCAAAUUUGUAUGUUUUGCUGUGGCAAAGCCCUCUGAUAGACUAGUAAC